CAUAUCAAUAAGCGGAGGAAAAGAAACUAACAAGGAUUCCCCUAGUAACUGCGAGUGAAGCGGGAAAAGCUCAAAUUUAAAAUCUGGUGGUUUUGCCAUCCGAGUUGUAAUCUGGAGAAGCGUUUUCUGUGCUGGACCGUGUACAAGUCUCUUGGAACAGAGCGUCAUAGAGGGUGAGAAUCCCGUCCAUGACACGGACACCCAGUGCUAUGUGAUACGUUUUCAAAGAGUCGAGUUGUUUGGGAAUGCAGCUCAAAAUGGGUGGUAAGCUCCAUCUAAAGCUAAAUAUUGGCGAGAGACCGAUAGCGAACAAGUACCGUGAGGGAAAGAUGAAAAGCACUUUGGAAAGAGAGUUAAACAGUACGUGAAAUUGUUGAAAGGGAAACGCUUGAAGUUAGUCGCGUCUUACUUGACUCAGCCUUGCUUCGGCUUGGUGUAUUUCAUGUGAGACGGGUCAACAUCGAUUUUGACCGGCAGACAAGGGGAGUAAGAAUGUGGCACUCUUCGGAGUGUGUUAUAGCUUAUUCUCAUAUGUGUCGGUUGGGAUCGAGGACCGCAGCGCGCCCUUGUGGCCGGAGGUUCGCCUCACGUUACGCGCUUAGGAUGUUGGCAUAAUGGCUUUAAGCGACCCGUCUUGAAACACGGACCAAGGAGUCUAACAUGCUCGCGAGUGUUAGGGUGGAAAACCCUUGCGCAGAAUGAAAGUAAAAGUUGGGAACCUCCGCAAGGGGGCGCACCGACGCCCGGCCCAGAAGUUUACGGACGGUGCUGCGGUAGAGCGCGUAUGUUGGGACCCGAAAGAUGGUGAACUAUGCCUGAAUAGGGCGAAGCCAGGGGAAACCCUGUGUGGAGGCUCGUAGCGAUUCUGACGUGCAAAUCGAUCGUCAAAUUUGGGUAUAGGGGCGAAAGACUAAUCGAACCAUCUAGUAGCUGGUUCCUGCGA
rnacentral:rRNA from 1 species